rnacentral:rRNA from 1 species
UACAGAGGGUGCGAGCGUUAAUCGGAAUUACUGGGCGUAAAGCGUGCGUAGACGGUAAUGUAAGUCGGGUGUGAAAGCCCCGGGCUCAACCUGGGAAUUGCAUUCGAGACUGCAUCGCUUGGGUGCGGAAGAGGGAAGCGGAAUUUCCGGUGUAGCGGUGAAAUGCGUAGAUAUCAAGUGGAACACCAGUGGCGAAGGCGAGUCUCUGGACAUUUCCUGACGCUGAGGCACGAAAGCCAGGGGAGCAAACGGG